UCUCCCCUUCCUAGUUUUUCUCCAUCACUCAUUAAUCUCUAGUACUCUAUAGUUGUUUUCUUCAGUUACUGUCUGCCCCCACUAGAAUAUAAGCUCCAUGAAGACAGGAGUUUUUAUCUGUUCUUUCACUGCCCUUGAAGGCCAAGCCUUCAUUUCUGCGUUGGGGUUUGUCAAUCCCAGAACUCACAGGCAGAAAUCACAUGUCCUAAAACAAGCAAAAUACCCAGUCCACGGAGAAGAGAACCUGUGGAUUUUUCUUCUCAACAUACAAGACUCUGACCCAAUCUAGGACCCUUUAAGGAAAAUAAUGAAUAAAAUAUGUUCUUUAAUGCCCAGAACAGUACCUGCCAUACAGUAGGCAGUACUCAAUAAAUAUAAUAUUCUCUAAUUAAUGAUGGAAUUCUUAUUACUACUACUAAUAACUCAUCUGCUUCCAUUUGUGACCCUCAGAACAUGGCACUUAAUCUUCAUUUCCCCUCACAUUGAGAGAAGUUCCAUUAAAGUUUAACACAAUACUGGAAAAAAUUGGCUUUGGGAUCAGAUAGUAACAGAUUUUGUAUCUUAGUUCUGACUCUUACUGAGCACAGCUAGAAAAUGUAUCUAACAUUUGUAAGCCGUGGUUUCCUCAUCUAUAAAAUGGGGAUAGUACCAUCUCCCUUGUUAAAUGAGCUCACGCACAGUGUUCAUAGGGGGUUGGCACAGAGUGUCCUACAGUUGUGAUGACUGCUCUUGACCUCUCAUGGGCGCCCAGUGCUGGACCCAGUUCAAAGGGCCAGUUUUGGCUGACCGGCCUUCCCAGUGCCCAUUUCUUAGCCUGAGGGCAGGAUUUAAGUCAAAGACGGGUUCAAAAUAGAGAACACAUUUUUCCCUCCCUGUAAACAAUAUGCAAAAGAGCUCCUUUCCUUCAGUAUCAUUGAGCAAGACGUUUGCCUUCUUGGAGCCUCAGCUUCUUCACCUACACAAAUGGGGUAAGUUGAGACUCAAGAAAAUGAAGAGAGAAAACACCUGCACCCAGGAAAUGUCGCACAAACACUGGUGGGCCUCACGCUCCCUCACUCUAGCCACCUCCUUAGAGCUCCUGAGGUCACCAGGAAGCCUCGAGAGCCACAUGUCAAGGCGGAGGCCACCGUUUGCCCUGGUCCCGUUCGAUGGACCAAGCAGGCACCUGCCCCAGGACUUCCUGGUUCAAAGGGGCCCAGAGACGCGAGCCCUUCAGCCACCUCUGGUCUAUUACAGGACAGUUGUGGAGCUCAUCCGAAUUUGAGCAUUUCCUUUCUAAAUUUUAUCAAUGGAGCUCUGGAGCCUUCUGCAAGUUCAAGUCUGGUGCCUUGGGUAAUUCAAACAUGCUGCACUACUUAAUACUUUCUUUUCUUCUAAGCUCUUUCAGAUUUCUGUCAAGCCAAAAAUAUGUCGAAUGACUCCCAAACCUGUGUAGCCUCAGUAUCUAGUGCAAGAGAGCUAUGUUGGUAAAUUGGGACAUAGCUAUCGCCUUUUCCUGCAACACCUGGUGGGUCGGGAGCCAAUUCCCUUAAACGCCAACCCUUCGUUUCUGCGUUGGGGUUUGUCAAUCCCAGAACUCACAGAGACCACACAGCCAAAAACAAACAAAAUACCUAGCCCACACAAAAGAGGAACUGUGAUUUUUCUUCUCAACACACAAGAUUUCCAGCCAUCCUAGGACAUUUUAGGGAGAAAAAUUAACAAACUAUGCGCUUUUCCAAGUUGUAUGGGCUUUCUGGCAAACCGAAGGCAGUCGGCUUGGGUGUCAAAUAGAAGUGAUUAGAAACCGUCGGUGUGCGCGUGCGCGUCUGCUCGGUGUGCGCGUCUGCUCGGUGUGCGCAUGCGCGUCUGAGCGCGCUUCCUGCCAGGUGCAGCCGCAGCCACAGAGCGGCUUUCCACCGGGAGCCCUGCGGGGGCAGUUAACACCAGGUUGCCUGGUUGCUUUUUAUGAGUCCGCUGGCCGCACUAGAAACCUGCAUAUGUAUAGUCACUGUUGCCCUUCACAGCUGAAGACUUGGCUGCUGACAACGUUAUUUGCUGCAGGGGUGUACUAAAAUAGUGGCGACGAUGUUGCCCUUCGGCAGCGGAUCUGAGAGGUCCCCCAUUCUCAACUCCAGUAAGGCUGGCCGUUGCGUGUUCCUGCAGCUCCAGGCGCCCACAGAGACCAUUCCCCUCCCUAAAGCCUCCCUUGCUCCCUCAGGCCAUAAGAGGGCCUGGGUGCGUCCCAUCCAGAGAAGGAGGCCUAAGACCAACUGUUAAGUUACAGACGAAUCAGGACCCCUUUACAACUGGGCGUUUCUCUUCCCCCAAAUGUGUUCUCCCAACAGUGCCUGCUGUUCACCCAGAGAGAGAGGAAGGCCGGUGGACAUGACUCUUUACUACUCUCUUCCCCCUUGUCCUCCUCUUAGCUUUUUUUAAUGUUCUGCCCUCUCCUUUCUCCCCGUUCUUAUGAGACGUCACCCCCUAAUCCUCCCUCCUGCACCCAGGCCUGCUGGCCCACCCAGACCUGGACACCUCCAACCCCUGCACAUGCUCAAGAUGCAGCACCAACAGAACAUCACAUUCCUGCCUUCAGAGAUUUCACAGUCUAAGGAAGGAAGACAAUAAAGAAAAGUUGUUUAAAUGUUUAUUUCAGAAGGAGAAUAAGAAGGUAGAACGUCAGGUGCAAGAUCUCUGUGAUAGGAAGAAAACCUGCCUGUGACGAUGACUUCAACAUGGCCACUCUACACCAGCCCUCGUAUGAACUUGAAAACGUCAACAAAGUCCACGCAUCCUUUGCCCACACUUUCAUCACCAAACAUGGCGGGGCUCCAACGGGGCUGUCCUUCUGGGUGACAGUGAUCUUGCCAAGGAAAGCUCACAGCCAGCCUAACUAAACUGGCA